rnacentral:tRNA from 1 species
CGGGAAAUAGCUCAGCUUGGUAGAGCGUCACGUUCGGGGCGUGAAGGCCGCAAGUUCGAAUCUUGUUUUCCCGA